GGCUGAGAGGGCGACCGGCCACACUGGGACUGAGACACGGCCCAGACUCCUACGGGAGGCAGCAGUGGGGAAUCUUGCGCAAUGGGCGGAAGCCUGACGCAGCGACGCCGCGUGGGGGAUGAAGGCCUUCGGGUUGUAAACCCCUUUCAGCAGGGACGAAUUCAGACGGUACCUGCAGAAGAAGCGCCGGCUAACUACGUGCCAGCAGCCGCGGUAACACGUAGGGCGCAAGCGUUGUCCGGAAUUAUUGGGCGUAAAGAGCUCGUAGGCGGACUGUUGCGUCUGCUGUGAAAAGCUGGGGCUUAACCCUGGCCUUGCAGUGGAUACGGGCAGACUAGAGGUAGGUAGGGGAGAAUGGAAUUCCCGGUGUAGCGGUGAAAUGCGCAGAUAUCGGGAGGAACACCGGUGGCGAAGGCGGUUCUCUGGGCCUUACCUGACGCUGAGGAGCGAAAGCGUGGGGAGCGAACAGGAUUAGAUACCCUGGUAGUCCACGCUGUAAACGUUGGGCGCUAGGUGUGGGGUCCUUCCACGGAUUCCGUGCCGCAGCUAACGCAUUAAGCGCCCCGCCUGGGGAGUACGGCCGCAAGGCUAAAACUCAAAGGAAUUGACG
rnacentral:rRNA from 1 species